rnacentral:rRNA from 1 species
GAGUUUGAUCGUGGCUCAGAUUGAACGCUGGCGGCAUGCCUUACACAUGCAAGUCGAACGGCAGCACGGGAGCUUGCUCCUGGUGGCGAGUGGCGAACGGGUGAGUAAUGCAUCGGAACGUAUCCUGGAGUGGGGGAUAACGUAGCGAAAGUUACGCUAAUACCGCAUAUUCUGUGAGCAGGAAAGCGGGGGACCUUCGGGCCUCGCGCUCUUGGAGCGGCCGAUGUCGGAUUAGCUAGUUGGUGAGGUAAAGGCUCACCAAGGCGACGAUCCGUAGCAGGUCUGAGAGGAUGAUCUGCCACACUGGAACUGAGACACGGUCCAGACUCCUACGGGAGGCAGCAGUGGGAAUUUUGGACAAUGGGGGCAACCCUGAUCCAGCCAUGCCGCGUGAGUGAAGAAGGCCUC